GUCAAUGCGCAGCUCUACUGCGCAGCCUCCAGACCGGAAGCUAUUCAGACGGGAAGCCCUCCACGUCCUUUCCCUUCCCUCUCGGCGCGGCGCAGACAGCGUGGCCCGUCCAGCUCCCAGAGAUGAGCAGCUUUCUCUUGGGCUCUAGUCCCUCUGAGGCUCCGUCGCGACCCGCAGCGCCAGAACCUCCAAGCCCGAAUGUGACCUCAACCACACUGAGAUGACGUGCUGAUCAGAAAUGAAGACCUAAUCCCUCCAGUGCCACACUGAGCUCUCGGGCGGUUCAGACCAGAUGCUUCUUGGCCAGGAUGGACCUAUGGCGGUCUACUCAGCAGAACAGGAGAUUGCAUUCCUGAUCAACGUGUAGAAUCCUGUUCCUAGCUGGAAAUCACGACGAGUCCAGUGAUGUCCCGGUGGGAGACUCUUCUGAUGAUCUGAGUGGAUCCUGUGAAGGCCAGAUGGGUGUGGUGACGAGGAACCCAAUGCAGAGCUACAGAUCCGGUGGAGUCCAGAGACGUCCCGCUGUGAGACGGUUCUACUGAACUGAGUUUCCUGAACUCGGCCUCGGUUGGAGUCCACCUACAUGAAGAGAUUUGGAUCACCCACACUGCGAAACCCUGUCUGUAACAAAUGACCGUGUUCCACCAAUAAACCCCAAAACAUCCACCACUGUGUACUUUCCACCUCUGUUCUCGAGAAUAAAACCCAAAGGAGUGGCGUCACACGCCGCCUGUGAUUAAUCACCACGGUUACCUGGGGGGGGCGCCCCACAUACCGUCCCGCCGCUGCCCGGGGGUCGGAGGUCACUCCUCGGCGAUGUAGGCGGCCGCCCCCGGGGCGUAGGCGUAGAUGAAGCGCAGCACGGC